rnacentral:rRNA from 1 species
UUAAUCGGAAUUACUGGGCGUAAAGCGCGCGUAGGCGGCUUUGCAAGUCGGGUGUGAAAUCCCCAGGCUUAACCUGGGAACUGCAUUCGAGACUGCAUUGCUAGAGUAUGGGAGAGGGAAGUGGAAUUUCCGGUGUAGCGGUGAAAUGCGUAGAUAUCGGAAGGAACAUCAGUGGCGAAAGCGACUUCCUGGACCAAUACUGACGCUCAUGUGCGAAAGCGUGGGGAGCAAACAGG